rnacentral:rRNA from 1 species
AUUGAACGCUGGCGGCAGGCCUAACACAUGCAAGUCGAGCGAGCGGCGGACGGGUGAGUAAUGUCUGGGAAACUGCCUGAUGGAGGGGGAUAACUACUGGAAACGGUAGCGUAUACCGCAUACCAUCAGAUGUGCCCAGAUUGGAUUAGCUGGUAGGGGGGGUAACGGCUAUCCUAGGAGACGAUCCCUAGCUGGUAUGAGAGGAUGACCAGACACACUGGAACUGAGACACGGUCCAGAAUCCGACGGGAGGCAGCAGUGGGGAAUAUUUCACAAUGGGCGCAAGCCUGAUGCAGCCAUGCCGGGUGUGUGAAGGAGGCCUUCGGGUUGUAAAGCACGUUCAGCAGGGAGGCGUUACCCGCAGAAGAAGCACCGGCUAACUCCGUGCCAGCAGCCGCGGUAAUUC